GGUUGUAGCUCAGUCGGUUAGAGUACCGGCCUGUCACGCCGGGGGUCGCGGGUUCGAGCCCCGUCAACC
rnacentral:tRNA from 1 species